GAUGAACGCUGGCGGCGUGCCUAAUACAUGCAAGUCGAGCGAACAGACGAGGAGCUUGCUCCUCUGACGUUAGCGGCGGACGGGUGAGUAACACGUGGAUAACCUACCUAUAAGACUGGGAUAACUUCGGGAAACCGGAGCUAAUACCGGAUAAUAUAUUGAACCGCAUGGUUCAAUAGUGAAAGACGGUUUUGCUGUCACUUAUAGAUGGAUCCGCGCCGCAUUAGCUAGUUGGUAAGGUAACGGCUUACCUAGGCAACGAUGCGUAGCCGACCUGAGAGGGUGAUCGGCCACACUGGAACUGAGACACGGUCCAGACUCCUACGGGAGGCAGCAGUAGGGAAUCUUCCGCAAAGGGCGAAAGCCUGACGGAGCAACGCCGCGUGAGUGAUGAAGGUCUUCGGAUCGUAAAACUCUGUUAUUAGGGAAGAACAAAUGUGUAAGUAACUAUGCACGUCUUGACGGUACCUAAUCAGAAAGCCACGGCUAACUACGUG
rnacentral:rRNA from 1 species